CAGUCGCCGCGGUAAUACGAAGGGUGCAAGCGUUGAUCGGAAUUACUGGGCGUAAAGCGUGCGUAGGCGGUGAGUUAAGUCUGCUGUGAAAUCCCAGAGCUCAACCCUGGAACUGCCUUUGAUACUGUCGAUCUGGAGUAUGGAAGAGGUGAGUGGAAUUCCGAGUGUAGAGGUGAAAUUCGUAGAUAUUCGGAGGAACACCAGUGGCGAAGGCGGCUCACUGGUCCAUUACUGACGCUGAGGUGCGAAAGCGUGGGGAGCAAACAGGAUUAGAUACCCGCGUAGUCCCUGUCUCUUAUAC
rnacentral:rRNA from 1 species